CGCGUGAGGAACCUGCCUUGGAGUGGGGAAUAACAGCCAGAAAUGGCUGCUAAUACCGCAUAAUGCAGUUGGGUCGCAUGGCUCUGACUGCCAAAGAUUUAUCGCUCUAAGAUGGCCUCGCGUCUGAUUAGUUUGUUGGCGGGGUAACGGCCCACCAAGACGACGAUCAGUAGCCGGACUGAGAGGUUGGCCGGCCACAUUGGGACUGAGACACGGCCCAGACUCCUACGGAAGGCAGCAG
rnacentral:rRNA from 1 species